rnacentral:rRNA from 1 species
GUAAGCGCAAGUCAUCAGCUUGCGUUGAUUACGUCCCUGCCCUUUGUACACACCGCCCGUCGCUACUACCGAUUGAAUGGCUCAGUGAGGCGUCCGGACUGGCCCAGAGAGGUGGGAAACUACCACUCAGGGCCGGAAAGCUCUCCAAACUCGGUCAUUUAGAGGAAGUAAAAGUCGUAACAAGGUCUCCGUUGGUGAACCAGCGGAGGGAUCAUUA